UCGAUACAAAUUGUCAUGUUAUAUCUUAGUCAUAUAUAUGGGUGUUUCCUAUAUUUGAUACUCUCUGGAAAUUGUUCCUUUUUGGAACCUUCAUGUCCCGCCGAAUACCUUUCAGGAUAACAGAAAAUACAUGGCUGAUAAAGAGAAGAAAUUUACAUGUGCAUUAUAGUAUUGGUAUAGAUAAUCAGUUUGACGAGCCCUCAUAGUAGACGAAAUUGGUAUUCAGUGAAGGAUCGGUAAGACUACACUUCAUUCGGAAUGCAUCCGAGUUUUAUGAGUCAUCGUGUCAGGAUAUUGCUACACACUUAUGGGGAAUAUUAUAUGAGAGAAAGCAACAUGGAGUGUUUUUGAGGCGAUAAUGUGAUAAAAACACCCACUCGAGAAGUACCCGAACACAAAGAAGCAUAAAUGACCUGGGCAAGAAGGCCACUGCGACAGGUUACUGAAGUGAGGCAGAAAGGUCAGUUUUCACCGCGGUCGACCGCGGUUGGCCGCGACCGCUUGCACUGUUCACGCAGCUGGAAGUUUAAAGACCAAAGUGUAAUUUUGGGGAAACAUUUGUAAAACCCUUAUAAGCUUUAGGAACUCGCCCAACUGAAGGGAAAGCUAAUUUAGACUACUUUUGGGAGGAAGAACAAGUGUGAGAAGAUCAACAACAUUAGCGUUUUUCUAUCUCCUUUUAA